rnacentral:rRNA from 1 species
ACGAAGGGUGCAAGCGUUACUCGGAAUUACUGGGCGUAAAGCGUGCGUAGGUGGUUGUUUAAGUCUGUCGUGAAAGCCCUGGGCUCAACCUGGGAAUGGCGAUGGAAACUGGGCGACUAGAGUGUGGCAGAGGGUAGUGGAAUUCCUGGUGUAGCAGUGAAAUGCGUAGAGAUCAGGAGGAACAUCCGUGGCGAAGGCGACUGCCUGGGCCAACACUGACACUGAGGCACGAAAGCGUGGGGAGCAAACAG